rnacentral:rRNA from 1 species
CAGUCGUACCGGCGGAUAAUCAGCCUUUCGAGUGCGAUUCUGUGGAGUGUGAGGAGCUAAACACCUUCAUGCCUGCAUAUUCGUGCUCUUGGGUGUACUUGCUCGUGUGGUUGGUUAACAUCAAUUUCGGACGCCAUAAAAUGGCUGGAGGAAUGUAGCUUCGAUCUCGUAUUGAAGUGUUAUAGCCCCCUUAUAAAAUAUCGUGUUCUGGACUGAGGAUCGCAGACAAAAAUGUGGGCAGGUGGAUUUCUGUGGUAACUGUCGAUUAGGACAACUUGUUGACCUAGUCUUCCUUAGCCUCAC